GCGCCGGUGGCGGAAUUGGUAGACGCGCCAGCUUGAGGGGCUGGUGAUCGCAAGAUCGUGGAGGUUCGAGUCCUCUCCGGCGCA
rnacentral:tRNA from 2 species